rnacentral:rRNA from 1 species
AUACGGAGGGUGCAAGCGUUAUCCGGAUUCAUUGGGUUUAAAGGGUCCGUAGGCGGGUUUGUAAGUCAGUGGUGAAAGUUUUCGGCUCAACCGGAAAAUUGCCAUUGAUACUGCAAGUCUUGAAUCAUUAUGAAGUGGUUAGAAUGUGUAGUGUAGCGGUGAAAUGCAUAGAUAUUACACAGAAUACCGAUUGCGAAGGCAGAUCACUAAUAAUGUAUUGACGCUAAGGGACGAAAGCGUGGGUAGCGAACAGGAUUAGAAACCCCAGUAGUCC